rnacentral:rRNA from 1 species
AGUGGAUGGGGAGCAACCUAGUUGUGCGUGUGUAAAGGUAGUGCCAAGAAAAGCGGUGAUCAUGAUGAAAAUCAAUUCCCGGUACCCGAAACCGACACAGGUGGGCAAGUAGAGAAUACUAAGGGGCGCGAGGUAACUCUCUCCAAGGAACUCGGCAAAAUGACCCCGUAACUUAGGGAGAAGGGGUGCCACCGAGAGGUGGUCGCAGUGAAGAGGCCCAGGCGACUGUUUAGCAAAAACAUAGGUCUCUGCAAACUCGAAAGAGGAGGUAUAGGGGCUGACGCCUGCCCAGUGCCGGAAGGUUAAAGAAGUUGGUCAGUCUUAGGAUGAAGCUAGCGACUGAAGCCCCGGUGAACGGCGGCCGUAACUACAACGGUCCUAAGGUAGCGAAAUUCCUUGUCGGGUAAGUUCCGACCCGCACGAAAGGCGUAACGAUCUGGGCGCUGUCUCGGAGAGAGGCUCGGCGAAAUAGGAUUGUCUGUGAAGAUACGGACUACCUGCAUUUGGACAGAAAGACCCUAUGAAGCUUUACUAUAGCUUGGAAUUGUGUUCGGGCUUCCUGUGCGCAGGAUAGGUGGGAGGCGUAGAAGGUAUUCUUGUGGGGAUACUGGAGCCAACGGUGAGAUACCACUCUCAGGAGGCUAGAAUUCUAACUUAAUUAAGGACAGUUUCAGGUGGGUAGUUUGACUGGGGCGGUCGCCUCCAAAAAGGUAACGGAGGCGUACAAAGGUUCCCUCAGACUGGUUGGAAAUCAGUCGAAGAGUGCAAAGGCAGAAGGGAGCUUGACUGCGAGAAGUACAGUUCGAGCAGGGUGGAAACACGGUCUUAGUGAUCCGACGGUGCUGUGUGGAAGGGCCGUCGCUCAACGGAUAAAAGUUACUCUAGGAUAACAGGCUGAUCUCCCCCAAGAGUUCACAUCGACGGGGAGGUUUGGCACCUCGAUGUCGGCUCAUCGCAACCUGGGGCGGAAGUACGUCCCAAGGGUUGGGCUGUUCGCCCAUUAAAGCGGUACGUGAGCUGGGUUCAGAACGUCGUGAGACAGUUCGGUCCAUAUCCGAUGUAGGCGUGAGAAUAUUGAGAGGAGCCUUCCUUAGUACGAGAGGACCGGGAAGGACGCACCGCUGGUGUACCUGUUAUGAUGCCAAUUGUAAACGCAGGGUAGCCAAGUGCGGAGAGGAUAACCGCUGAAAGCAUCUAAGUGGGAAGCCCACCUCAAGAUGAGUAUUCUGGUGUAAGGUCACGGGAAGACGACCCGUAAAUAGGCACGAGGUGGAAGUGCAGAGAUGUAUGAAGCCGAAGUGUACUAAUAGACCGUCGGCUUGACC